rnacentral:rRNA from 1 species
AGUGAACGCUGGCGGCGUGCUUAACACAUGCAAGUCGAACGAGAACGGAAUAUAGCUUGCUAUAUUUGUCAGCUAAGUGGCGCACGGGUGAGUAAUGUAUAGAUAACCUGCCCUUAAGAAAGGAAUAACAGUUGGAAACGACUGCUAAUGCCCUAUAUGCCUUUAAUACAUAAGUAUGCAAGGGAAACGCUUUAGUGCUUAAGGAUGGGUCUGUAUGGUAUCAGCUUGUUGGUGAGGUAAUGGCUCACCAAGGCUAUGACGCCUAACUGGUUUGAGAGGAUGGUCAGUCACACUGGAACUGCGACACGGUCCAGACUCCUACGGGAGGCAGCAGUGGGGAAUAUUGCACAAUGGACGAAAGUCUGAUGCAGCAACGCCGCGUGGAGGAUGACACAUUUCGGUGCGUAAACUCCUUUUAUAUAGGAAGAUAAUGACGGUACUAUAUGAAUAAGCACCGGCUAACUCCGUGCCAGCAGCCGCCGUAA